rnacentral:rRNA from 1 species
UACGAAGGGGGCUAGCGUUGCUCGGAAUUACUGGGCGUAAAGCGCACGUAGGCGGCUUGCUAAGUCAGGGGUGAAAUCCUGGAGCUCAACUCCAGAACUGCCUUUGAUACUGGCGAUCUCGAGUCCGGGAGAGGUGAGUGGAACUGCGAGUGUAGAGGUGAAAUUCGUAGAUAUUCGCAAGAACACCAGUGGCGAAGGCGGCUCACUGGUCCAUUACUGACGCUGAGGUGCGAAGGCGUGGGGAGCGAACAGG